rnacentral:rRNA from 1 species
UACGUAGGGGGCUAGCGUUGUCCGGAAUCAUUGGGCGUAAAGCGCGCGUAGGCGGCCCUGUUAGUCCGCUGUAAAAGUCAAAGGCUCAACCUUUGAAUGCCGGUGGAUACUGCAGGGCUAGAGUCCGGAAGAGGAGAGUGGAAUUCCUGGUGUAGCGGUGAAAUGCGCAGAUAUCAGGAAGAACACCCGUGGCUAAGGCGGUUCUCUAGUACGGUACUGACGCUGAGACGCGAAAGCGUGGGGAGCGAACGG